CUGGUCACCUCCCUAUCGCCAGGUGUGCGCCCUCUCCCCGCCUGCGACCUUCCCAGAAGGUGGAUGGGUCGCUGCUGUGCUUCAAGGCCUGCCAGCCUGCGGAGAAUCUGGGGACCUGUGACCUAGUCCCUCCUCCACCCCCGGGCCAGCGGCCUCCCGCUCCUCCUCGGUGUCCAGAAUUACAGCUGGGCAAGUGAGAGAAGUGGGAGAUGGAGGAGUCAACAUGGCAGAAAAGAGAGAGAAGAUGGAAGUGAGGAAACAGAAGUAGACAGAAAUUUGAUAAGAAGGGAAAAGUGACCAUGCAGAUGUAGAAGACAGAUGGAGUGCAAAGGAGGAAGGAAUACACACAUGCGAGGC
rnacentral:lncRNA from 1 species